CUUACCCACUGAGCCAUCUCACCAGCCCCGCAAAGAUCCUGAAUGUGACAUCCCUGCUGCUGAGUCAGCAUCUGCCUUACAUGGAGAAGAGAGGGUCAAGCUGCAGAGCGAGGGUGGAACUCCCGAGAGCUGUGUAAGCCUCGGGGUCUCACGUCUUUGCUGACCUUCACUUCCCUGAGAAAGGCACAGCUGAGAACUUUUUCCUGGUGCUCCUUUUAGUCCCUCCUGCUGACUUGAGCCAAGGCUAUGGCCUGGCUGUCACUGCUAGGUCGUGUCACCACUGUUGCUAACACGACUCUACCAAACUGGACUGCUGGUGCAUCUGUGAGGUGUUUGUGAGUGGAUCAAGCUGCCGCCGCCUGCUAACCUGUGAACUGAACUGUCGAUUUCCAGACAACACAGAUGGGUGUUGCUCCAGGAACCUUUCUAGACAGGAAGAAGUGUCAGAAGAGGACAGCACAAGGGAUAAACGUGGAGAUUCUGCUUAUGAGAAAUGGGACUGGAAUCUCAGCUCUGCCACUCAUUGGCCUCAGUUUCCUGACACAGACUGGGGUAGUAAUAGGACCUGCAUUGUCCUGUGCAGCUGUCAUGACACCCCAACAGACAGUAGUCAAUCUUUAGCUUUACCUCUCCUCUUGCCUUUCUUAGUCUCUUCUUAGGAGCGCUGCUGGCAUCUCUGUCUCUUCCAUGUCAGCUCGUAUUUUGUUUGUGGUAAGUGCUUGGUUCCUAUUUGUUUGUUUGGUGUACAGUAAGGGGUAAUUGUGUAUUCCAGAGCCAUCCAGAGACCAUGUCCAGGAUAGACACUUGUCUUAACUCCUGAUGUCCUGGGCUGAGCUUGUUCCCAUGUGCCUUUGCUCUUUCACAAGGCUGGGCAGAGUGAGUCUGAGCUCUGGGCUUGUCCAGUUGUGAUCCUUGUGAGUGAGAAAUCCAACCGGUGCUUUCUUCUACCCGUUCCCCAUCCCAGCACUUGUCAUUCUCUUUCAGGAGCUGGGUGCCUAUAAUCUCAGCCAGAAAGCCCUGCUAGGUCUUAGUAGGACACAGCCACUGGAGUCGGCUCCCAAGAACAUCCAGGCAUUCAGCAUCUAAAGAUCACAGGCUUGUAUGCAGCCUAAAGGUGAGACUCUCUCCAGUCCUGCUCUAUAUUAACUUCUUACAGAUGCCAAUUUUGAUGCCUUUGGCCUUUUCUUUUUCCCCAUCCUCCUACUUCAUCAUGGAGGAUGGCGCUGUAGGUCACAGGGCUGUCUCUCGCAGGUUCUCUAAAUAGGAGUACAGCCUACUUCUCACAAGUGAAGUGUCUACUAACAGUGGCAGGGGAAGAGUUUAUCUAUGGGUCGUCACCUUCUGUCCAUCAAGAGAUUCAGAGUUGGGGAAUUAUCAACCGCUGUUUCCAACCAGAGAGGAACUGUUCUACAGUUCACAAUGGGAAGCAAGCAGCUCCCUCAGUCACAUCUGAAAUUAAAAUGAGGACCAGAGGAUGCGAACAGGGCAGUAAACAUGUCUGCAGCGGUCUCUAGGAAGCAGCAAUUCCUGUGCUCAGAUGUGUGCAUGGACAACACUCCAUCCGUUGCUUUGUGAAGCUCUGCACAGAAUGAAGCAAUCACUUCAUUUCCCGCAAGGAUCGGCAUGGAGAAAUGUCCGGAAGCUUUCAAGCUGCUAAUCUCAAAUCUCCACUAAUGGUUUGAGCGGUCCUGUGGCUGUCCCAUGGGAGGGGAGGGCUGGUUAACAGAAGAAACCAGAGAAUGAGAAGGAUGGAAAGGCAGGAAGGGAGGAUCAUAGAGAAGACCCUUAAUUAGCUAAUCAUGCAUAAAGGAACUGGGUGUCUCUCAACAACUGAAUGUUCUAUUUGCUACAAAUAGAAUUGCUUAAAUGCAAUACUGUAAAAAAAUUUCCAUCACAAUUUAAAAUUUCACUUCCAUUUUCUCUAAGCUAACAUUAGGACAUUUUUAGACUGUGACGACCCUGGAAGGGAAAAUGUGCAGGGCUGCCUCCUAUCUGGUUUCUGGUGAUGCAGGUUUUGAGGAUAACUGAGAAUAAGUGCAGGUGGCAACAGUGGAUGCCUUGGUAACCUGAAGGAUGCCAAGGCUGAGAUGUGGGGAGCUGAAGCUUUAACAGCUACUAACCCCAAAUGGAACACCAGGCAUUUAGAACUGUCCUGGGUCUGAUCUUAUCAAAGACAUGAACUGUUCUUCCAUCUACAGAGAAGGUCCCUUACAUGACAUUUGGCUCAUUUACGGGGAGUUUCCUUUUUCUUUUCUUUUUUUUUUUCCUUUUUAUUGGUUCUUUGUGAGUUUCCCAUCAUGCACCCCAAUCCCACUCACCACCCUGUUCUCUUGUAUUCACCCUACACACUUACAACCUCCCUCCACAAAUAAAAACAUUUAAAA